AAUUCUAGCUUGAACUUUGGCAGGUUCUUUUCCAUUGCAUUCAACAGCACCAUUAAUGGCUUUAAUCGUAGCUCCAAAACCUUGGGUCACAGAAGGGCGGACAUUUUGCAUCCAAUACCAUAAGGCAGUCUUGAAUGAUAUGACAGGAUCUGUGGCCACAAUUUCAGGAUUGUUCAGCCCAUCAAAACCGAUGCUUUUACCAGCUGCUCCGUAGUUGUAGUUCCAUGUUAGUUGAAGUGGACCGCGCCCG
rnacentral:misc_RNA from 1 species